rnacentral:rRNA from 1 species
UACGUAGGGGGCAAGCGUUGUCCGGAUUUAUUGGGCGUAAAGAGCGUGUAGGCGGCCAGACAGGUCCGUUGUGAAAACUAGAGGCUUAACCUCUAGACGUCGACGGAAACCGUCUGGCUAGAGUCCGGAAGAGGAGAAUGGAAUUCCUGGUGUAGCGGUGAAAUGCGCAGAUAUCAGGAAGAACACCCGUGGCUAAGGCGGUUCUCUAGUACGGUACUGACGCUGAGACGCGAAAGCGUGGGGAGCGAACAGG